AGAGUAACGGAGGAGCACGAAGGUUGGCUAAUCCUGGUCGGACAUCAGGAGGUUAGUGCAAUGGCAUAAGCCAGCUUGACUGCGAGCGUGACGGCGCGAGCAGGUGCGAAAGCAGGUCAUAGUGAUCCGGUGGUUCUGAAUGGAAGGGCCAUCGCUCAACGGAUAAAAGGUACUCCGGGGAUAACAGGCUGAUACCGCCCAAGAGUUCAUAUCGACGGCGGUGUUUGGCACCUCGAUGUCGGCUCAUCACAUCCUGGGGCUGAAGUAGGUCCCAAGGGUAUGGCUGUUCGCCAUUUAAAGUGGUACGCGAGCUGGGUUUAGAACGUCGUGAGACAGUUCGGUCCCUAUCUGCCGUGGGCGCUGGAGAACUGAGGGGGGCUGCUCCUAGUACGAGAGGACCGGAGUGGACGCAUCACUGGUGUUCGGGUUGUCAUGCCAAUGGCACUGCCCGGUAGCUAAAUGCGGAAGAGAUAAGUGCUGAAAGCAUCUAAGCACGAAACUUGCCCCGAGAUGAGUUCUCCCUGAGACUUAGAGUCUCCUGAAGGAACGUUGAAGACGACGACGUUGAUAGGCCGGGUGUGUAAGCGCAGCGAUGCGUUGAGCUAACCGGUACUAAUGAACCGUGAGGCUUAACCUUACAACGCCGAAG
rnacentral:rRNA from 1 species